GACGAACGCUGGCGGCGUGCUUAACACAUGCAAGUCGAGCGGGAUCCAACCGGUGGCAACACCGGGGAAGAUCUAGCGGCGAACGGGUGAGUAACACGUGAGCAACCUGCCCCGAAGACUGGGAUAACACCGGGAAACCGGUGCUAAUACCGGAUGUCGUCAUUAGGCCGCAUGACCUGAUGAUGAAAGGAUUCAUCGCUUCGGGAGGGGCUCGCGGGCUAUCAGCUUGNGGUGGGGUAACGGCCUACCAAGGCGACGACGGCUAGCUGGUCUGAGAGGACGACCAGCCACACUGGGACUGAGACACGGCCCAGACUCCUACGGGAGGCAGCAGUGGGGAAUCUUGCGCAAUAGGCGAAAGCCUGACGCAGCAACGCCGCGUGGGGGACGAAUGCCUUCGGGUU
rnacentral:rRNA from 1 species